GACGAACGCUGGCGGCGUGCUUAACACAUGCAAGUCGAGCGGUAAGGCCCUUUCGGGGGUACACGAGCGGCGAACGGGUGAGUAACACGUGGGUGACCUGCCCUCAGCUCUGGGAUAAGCCUGGGAAACCGGGUCUAAUACUGGAUAUGACUCCAUGACGCAUGUUGUGGGGUGGAAAGCCUUGUGCGGCUGAGGAUGGGCCCCGCGGCCUAUCAGCUUGCNGGGUGGGGUGAUGGCCUACCAAGGCGACGACGGGUAGCCGGCCUGAGAGGGCGACCGGCCACACUGGGACUGAGACACGGCCCAGACUCCUACGGGAGGCAGCAGUGGGGAAUCUUGCGCAAUGGGCGAAAGCCUGACGCAGCGACGCCGCGUGAGGGAUGACGG
rnacentral:rRNA from 1 species